rnacentral:rRNA from 1 species
UAGGGAAUCUUCCGCAAUGGGCGAAAGCCUGACGGAGCAAUGCCGCGUGAGUGAUGAAGGUUUUCGGAUCGUAAAGCUCUGUUGCCAGGGAAGAACGCUUGGGAGAGUAACUGCUCUCAAGGUGACGGUACCUGAGAAGAAAGCCCCGGCUAACUACGUGCCAGCAGCCGCGGUAAUACGUAGGGGGCAAGCGUUGUCCGGAAUUAUUGGGCGUAAAGCGCGCGCAGGCGGUCAUUUAAGUCUGGUGUUUAAUCCCGGGGCUCAACCCCGGAUCGCACUGGAAACUGGGUGACUUGAGUGCAGAAGAGGAGAGUGGAAUUCCACGUGUAGCGGUGAAAUGCGUAGAUAUGUGGAGGAACACCAGUGGCGAAGGCGACUCUCUGGGCUGUAACUGACGCUGAGGCGCGAAAGCGUGGGGAGCAAACA